rnacentral:rRNA from 1 species
GUGGGGAAUCUUCCGCAAUGGACGAAAGUCUGACGGAGCAACGCCGCGUGAACGAUGACGGCCUUCGGGUUGUAAAGUUCUGUUAUACGGGACGAAUGGUACGACGGUCAAUACCCGUCGUAAGUGACGGUACCGUAGGAGAAAGCCACGGCUAACUACGUGCCAGCAGCCGCGGUAAUACGUAGGUGGCAAGCGUUGUCCGGAAUUAUUGGGCGUAAAGGGCGCGCAGGCGGCGUCGUAAGUCGGUCUUAAAAGUGCGGGGCUUAACCCCGUGAGGGGACCGAAACUGCGAUGCUAGAGUAUCGGAGAGGAAAGCGGAAUUCCUAGUGUAGCGGUGAAAUGCGUAGAUAUUAGGAGGAACACCAGUGGCGAAAGCGGCUUUCUGGACGACAACUGACGCUGAGGCGCGAAAGCCAGGGGAGCAAACGGGAUUAGAAACCCUGGUAGUCC